rnacentral:rRNA from 1 species
GACGAACGCUGGCGGCGUGCCUAAUACAUGCAAGUCGAGCGAACAGAAAAGGAGCUUGCUCCUUUGACGUUAGCGGCGGACGGGUGAGUAACACGUGGGCAACCUACCCUAUAGUUUGGGAUAACUCCGGGAAACCGGGGCUAAUACCGAAUAAUCUCUUUUGCUUCAUGGCAAGAGACUGAAAGACGGUUUCGGCUGUCGCUAUAGGAUGGGCCCGCGGCGCAUUAGCUAGUUGGUGAGGUAACGGCUCACCAAGGCGACGAUGCGUAGCCGACCUGAGAGUGUGAUCGGCCACACUGGGACUGAGACACGGCCCAGACUCCUACGGGAGGCAGCAGUAGGGAAUCUUCCACAAUGGGCGAAAGCCUGAUGGAGCAACGCCGCGUGAGUGAAGAAGGUUUUCGGAUUGUAAAACUCUGUUGUAAGGGAAGAACAAGUACAGUAGUAACUGGCUGUACCUUGACGGUACCUUAUUAGAAAGCCACGGCUAACUACGUGCCAGCAGCCGCGGUAA